UGCAAAUCAGUUGUGUUCGCAACCUGCAUCAAAAAACUGUAGCUCAGAGACGAUGUGCAUAACAGCAACUUUACUUGGAACGCCACUAAUCUACAAAGCCUGUGCAUCAUCCUCUCUGUGUCCGGCCACAGGAAGUAUGACUGCUUCAGUCAAUUUGGGUUCCCAAAGUGCAACUGCAUCUGCUGAGUGCUGCAGCACCGAUGACUGCAACUCACAAACUCUACCUCGUAGGUUUUGUCAGUAAAAAAAUUUGAUCCUCCCUUUUUAAUUUAGAAUUCAAUAAGGUUUCUCUUCCAUUGUGCUGCUUUUAUUUCAGCACCCCCUACUCAGUCACCUAAGAUCCUGCAGUGCAUUGCUUGUGAUUCCACCAUCUCAGAGUGCAACACUAUAAUAACAUGUUCAGUACAUGAGACAAACUGCUUCAAAGCAACUGCUACAAAUGGAAACACAAGAACUCUGAUACUAGGCUGUGUAACCCCAAAUAUAUGUUCAAGUCUGGGUAGUUUACCGUUCAUGCCUAUUAUUGGUUCAUUCACCAGCGAACCGACCUGUUGUGCAACUAAUUUGUGCAAUGAUCCAAGAACAACAUCUACUACAACCACAACUGCAACGACCCCUACAACCAUAAAUACACCGGCCACUACAACUGCAACGACCCCUACAACCAUAAAUAC